UACCAGACUCCUACGGGAGGCAGCAGUGAGGAAUAUUGGUCAAUGGACGCAAGUCUGAACCAGCCAUGCCGCGUGCAGGAAGACGGCUCUAUGAGUUGUAAACUGCUUUUGUACGAGGGUAAACGCAGAUACGUGUAUCUGUCUGAAAGUAUCGUACGAAUAAGGAUCGGCUAACUCCGUGCCAGCAGCCGCGGUAAUACGGAGGAUUCAAGCGUUAUCCGGAUUUAUUGGGUUUAAAGGGUGCGUAGGCGGAAUGCAAAGUCAGCGGUAAAAUCGCGGGGCUCAACCUCGCUCCGCCGUUGAAACUGGCGUUCUUGAGUGAGUGAGAAGUAAGCGGAAUGCGUGGUGUAGCGGUGAAAUGCAUAGAUAUCACGCAGAACGCCGAUUGCGAAGGCAGCUUACCGGCGCUCAACUGACGCUGAGGCACGAAAGUGCGGGUAUCGAACAGGAUUAGAUACCCCUGUA
rnacentral:rRNA from 1 species